rnacentral:lncRNA from 1 species
UUCAUCUGAAGUUAAUAUGUAUUCUGAAAUCAUUUGUAUUUUAAUAUUUGUGUUAUUGAGUAAAACACACAUGAUUUGGUGGGAGUGUAGCGUCUGAGGAUGUUGGUUUAUUGUGUUGCCACAGGAAACGGUUUGUUAAUGGAAAUUACGGAGUUGUUGCUGGGUCAGUGAAUGUGCCACAAAGGUAACUGUUUUCAACGGUUGAACGCGCCACAAGAACGAGGUGCGCUCGAAAGCGAAAAAGGUGGACACGACGGAGAACUGAAAAUAGUACACGGGGAGAGACGUCAAGGAAGAAAGAGGCAAAUUACGGCGACGGUAUUUUUUGUUUUGGUUUGUUUAGCUCCGGUCAAAGUGGCAACGAGGUUUGAGGUGACCUCCACAAUAAAGAAAGGCUUCAGACCACCAGUAAAGCUGCGCUGUGAAGAAAGUAAGAUCUCGGAACUUCUGCAGUGCUGUCGUCAAUGUCGAAGACCACGUGUAGAAGCUAUCGUAUACAGCGAACAGCAGGCAACAGAAGUUGGUCUGAUACCUGGAGCAACAGGAAUAAGGGACAGUGACCUGAAAAUGGAGGAUGCACCAUGCUCAUCUGCAGCAUCGAAACAAAGCCACCAAGGAAACUCUCUAUAACGACACACCUCGUCGCACAGAACGUGCUAGAGUCCCAACAGAAAAGAUGGCUGCUUAUCAAAGAGAACAAAUGAGCAAUAAGGAAAGAAGCUAAUCAGCCCAUAUGAGCUUGAUUUUUUGACUGGACGCUACAACUAGCGUCACGUUAUUUCUAAUGGACUUGAAGCAACAACAUUCCUUCAAAGUCAUUUAUCCAGCUAAUGCAAAAAUAUGGUCUAAUAAUGAGGUUGUAGCAACGACAAAAGAACAAAACAGCUAAACUUUGGAAAUAUGAUCUGAUGAGUCCAAAUUUCUUUGCACCUUCAAAGAUAUAAUCAGACAUUUUUACAUAGUAACUUAAGAAACGGUUGUUGCUUCAAAAUGUUUCCUUUGUCAGAGAACAAACUUCUAUAUAAAGUCGUGCAUCUAAAAGACACACAUUGAUUUCGCUUCAUCCUCUAACGGUCGCGGAAACAAAUAAUUCUAUAAUUCUUUCCUACCGCAAAACAGGUCCUCGGGCAGCUUUGCAAUUUAAGUAAUGUGCAGAAACAGACUUCGGCUGAUCUAAACUAUAUGUAACAGUCUGUGUUAAAAGAAAUGUGGAGUCGCUUUUUACCCACGCAGGCGCUGUUUGUCUGAUUUCAGCUGCGACUCGAUUGGUUGUCUGCGGUUCAGUUCUGCCACGCGAUUGGUUGUUUACAAGUAUAUGGUCACCGGUAAAUUUUGGACGAACCGUUCUUUAUCACUGUAGACAUUUAACUACCGUAUAAACGGUUUAAAACAGUCCCUAAAGUAAACAGUGGAGCCCAGUAGAACUCAAUAAAGCUGUUCUUCUGGGUGUCGUACUUCCGGGA